rnacentral:rRNA from 1 species
UGGGGAAUAUUGCACAAUGGGGGAAACCCUGAUGCAGCGACGCCGCGUGAGCGAAGAAGGCUUUCGAGUCGUAAAGCUCUGUCCUAUGAGAAGAUAAUGACGGUAUCAUAGGAGGAAGCCCUGGCUAAAUACGUGCCAGCAGCCGCGGUAAUACGUAUGGGGCGAGCGUUGUCCGGAAUUAUUGGGCGUAAAGGGUACGUAGGCGGUUUUUUAAGUCAGGUGUCAAAGCGUGGAGCUUAACUCCAUUAAGCACUUGAAACUGAAAGACUUGAGUGAAGGAGAGGAAAGUGGAGUUCCUAGUGUCGCGGUGAAAUGCGUAGAUAAUAGGAGGAAUACCGGUGGCGAAGGCGACUUUCUGGACUUUUACUGACGCUCAGGUACGAAAGCGUGGGGAGCAAACAGG